rnacentral:piRNA from 1 species
UAAACCAGGCUGGUAUUGGUGGAGGUA